rnacentral:rRNA from 1 species
UACAGAGGUCUCAAGCGUUGUUCGGAUUCACUGGGCGUAAAGGGUGCGUAGGUGGCGAGGAAAGUCGGAUGUGAAAAGCUCGGAGCUCAACUCCGAAAUGGCAUUGGAAACUACCUUGCUCGAGGGUUGGAGGGGGGACUGGAAUUCUCGGUGUAGCAGUGAAAUGCGUAGAUAUCGAGAGGAACACCAGUGGCGAAGGCGAGUCCCUGGACAACUCCUGACACUGAGGCACGAAAGCUAGGGGAGCAAACAGG